AUUGAACGCUGGCGGCAGGCCUAACACAUGCAAGUCGAGCGAGCGGCGGACGGGUGAGUAAUGCCUGGGAAUAGCCCUGAUGUGGGGGAUAACUAUUGGAAACGAUAGCUAAUACCGCAUACGUCAGGAUUAGCCCAGGUGGGUAUAGCUUGUUGGUGGGUUAAUGGCUCACAAAGGCAACGAUCCCUAGCUGGUCUGAGAGUAUGAGUAGCCACGCUGGAACUGAGACACGGUCCAGACUCCGACGGGAAGCAUCAGUGGGGAAUAUUGCACAAUGGAGGAAACCCUGAUGCAGCCAUGCCGCGUUUAUGAAGAGGGCCUUCGGGUUGUAAAGUACUUUCAGUUGUGAGGCGUUAGCAACAGAAGAAGCACCGGCUAACUCCGUGCCAGCCGCGGCGGUAAUAC
rnacentral:rRNA from 1 species